UUUAAAAAAAAAAAAAAAACCAAAUAUGUACAUACAUAAGUUUGGCAUUCGUGUUGAAUUGAAACUGGGCAAGUUGGCAUAUGAGUAUAUUCCACAGGUAUAUAUUGAUAUGACCAGAAAUAAUUAUAUACCAUGCCUUCUUUAGUUUAUUGGUCAGAUGGCAUAUCAUUCAGCACAUUGGAAUCUCUCUCUCUCUCUCUCUCUCUCUCUCUCUUGUCAGCCACAAGUUUUUCCAACUUCUGCUUUGCUUUGCUUCUCAGAGAUCCACCAGAAACAAACACUGACCUCUGCUCCGGGUUCACAAGGGAGGGCCAGGUCCAACAAGCAAGUUUUAGAUCAUAUAAGGAACAUGGUUCUAUCAUAUAACAAGAAAUCAACCAUAUGUAAUAAUAGUACAGCCACAGGCUCCCACAGAAUUUCCAUAAAAUCAAAAGAAAAGCCAAUGAACUGACAGGCGAAGACUACAAGCAUAUAUUAAUCCUUCUGUUAACAUCUGAAUUGUCAUACAAUGAUGACUUCGAACAGUCUACAACAAGAGAAAAGAAGAAAACCAAAUCACUUCUAGUAAGCUACUCAAUUGUUCAUUGAUGUUCAGUUACACUAUUCUAAACCAUCUCCGGGAUAAUAUACCAAUUCAAAACAUAAUUUGGAAGAGGAUAUGAUGGAUUCCUUAAAAUUUACCGACAUA